GGAAGGUGCAAGCGUUAAUCGGAAUUACUGGGCGUAAAGCGCGCGUAGGCGGUUAGAUAAGUCGGGUGUGAAAGCCCCGGGCUCAACCUGGGAACUGCAUUCGAUACUGUUUGACUAGAGUGUGAUAGAGGGAGGCGGAAUUCCGCAUGUAGCGGUGAAAUGCGUAGAGAUGCGGAGGAACACCAAUGGCGAAGGCAGCCUCCUGGAUUAACACUGACGCUGAGGUGCGAAAGCGUGGGGGGGAGCAAACAGGAUUAGAUACCCUGGUAGUCCACGCUGUAAACCGAUGUCAACUAGCCGUUGGGAGCAAUUUGGCUCUUGGUGGCGCAGCUAACGCGAUAAGUUGACCGCCUGGGGAGUACGGUCGCAAGAUUA
rnacentral:rRNA from 1 species